GUGAGGAAUUUUCCGCAAUGGGCGAAAGCCUGACGGAGCAAUGCCGCGUGAAGGAUGAAGGCCUAUGGGUUGUAAACUUCUUUUCUCAGAAAAGAAUUAUGACGGUAUCUGAGGAAUAAGCAUCGGCUAACUCUGUGCCAGCAGCCGCGGUAAGACAGAGGAUGCAAGCGUUAUCCGGAAUGAUUGGGUGUAAAGCGUCUGUAGGUUGUUUAAAAAGUAUUCUGUCAAAGAUUAGGGCUUAACCCUAGAUAGGCAGAAUAAACUUUUAAGCUAGAGUUUGGUAGAGGCAGAGGGAAUUCCCGGUGGAGCGGUGAAAUGCGUAGAUAUCGGGAGGAACACCAAAGGCGAAGGCACUCUGCUGGACCAAUACUAACACUGAGAGACGAAAGCGAGGGGAGCAAAUGGGAUUAGAAACCCCGGUAGUCC
rnacentral:rRNA from 1 species